rnacentral:rRNA from 1 species
GAUGAACGCUGGCGGCGUGCCUAAUACAUGCAGGUCGAGCGAACAGACGAGGAGCUUGCUCCUCUGACGUUAGCGGCGGACGGGUGAGUAACACGUGGAUAACCUACCUAUAAGACUGGGAUAACUUCGGGAAACCGGAGCUAAUACCGUAUAACAUGUUGAACCGCAUGGUUCAACAGUGAAAGACGGUCUUGCUGUCACUUAUAGAUGGAUCCGCGCCGCAUUAGCUAGUUGGUAAGGUAACGGCUUACCAAGGCAACGAUGCGUAGCCGACCUGAGAGGGUGAUCGGCCACACUGGAACUGAGACACGGUCCAGACUCCUACGGGAGGCAGCAGUAGGGAAUCUUCCGCAAUGGGCGAAAGCCUGACGGAGCAACGCCGCGUGAGUGAAGAAGGUCUUCGGAUCGUAAAACUCUGUUAUUAGGGAAGAACAAAUGUGUAAGUAACUAUGCACGUCUUGACGGUACCUAAUCAGAAAGCCACGGCUAACUACGUG